ensembl:snRNA U5 U5 spliceosomal RNA
GUACAAUGGUUUUUCUUUAAAUGGAAUAAAUCAUUUGCCUUUUACUAAAGAUUAUUAUGGAGAGCAACAAUUAAGAGUCUUUGACCAAUUUUUUGAAGCCUUAUUUCCCCCCCAUUUUUUAAGUU